GGAGAGGACGCGGCUUUGAGAAGAGGCCGCCUGUCAGCUGCAGCCCCGAGGUUUUGAAAUUUUCCCUAUUUCAAUUCUCUAUGGCUCCUGAACUCUGCUACCUCUCAAGGGAGCUACUGAGCAGAAGCAGUCAAUGCACCAGCACGGUUCCCUCUGGCGCUGAUGGCCCCAGUGAAGGCUGGAGAUGAACCAGGGCCAUUAGGAACGCACUUCUGAACCAAGAAAGAAGGACCUGAUCCCUGCUUCCGCAAGCUGGCUGAUGUCUGUGAGCACCAACGAGCCCACAACAGGACCAGACCGGGCCCUACCACCUGGGCAGGAAGAACAAAAACCCUGGGAAGGAAGUGAGGAUGGAGAAGGAGAGCAGG